rnacentral:rRNA from 1 species
GACGAACGCUGGCGGCGUGCUUAAAACAUGCAAGUCGAACGGGGUCCAACCAGUCGCAAGACUGGGGAAGACCGAGUGGCGAACGGGUGCGUAACACGUGAGGAACCUGCCCCGGAGACCGGGAUAACCCCUCGAAAGAGGAGCUAAUACCGGAUGUGCUAAUCGGAUCGCCUGGUCUGAUGAGGAAAUGGAUUCCGCUCCGGGAUGGCCUCGCGGCCUAUCAGCCUGUUGGUGGGGUAACGGCUCACCAAGGCGACGACGGGUAGCUGGUCUGAGAGGACGAUCAGCCACACUGGGACUGAGACACGGCCCAGACUCCUACGGGAGGCAGCAGUUAGGAAUCUUGCGCAAUGGGCGAAAGCCUGACGCAGCAACGCCGCGUGGGGGAUGAAGGCUCUCGGGUCGUAAACCCCUUUCAGCAGGGACGAUUGUGACGGUACCUGCAGAAGAAGGACCGGCCAACUACGUGCCAGCCGCCGCGGUAAGAC